rnacentral:rRNA from 1 species
GAUGAACGCUGGCGGCGUGCCUAAUACAUGCAAGUCGAGCGAACAGACGAGGAGCUUGCUCCUCUGACGUUAGCGGCGGACGGGUGAGUAACACGUGGAUAACCUACCUAUAAGACUGGUAUAACUUCGGGAAACCGGAGCUAAUACCGGAUAAUAUAUUGAACCGCAUGGUUCAAUAGUGAAAGACGGUUUUGCUGUCACUUAUAGAUGGAUCCGCGCCGCAUUAGCUAGUUGGUAAGGUAACGGCUUACCAAGGCAACGAUGCGUAGCCGACCUGAGAGGGAGACGGCCCACAGUGAAACUGGACCAGGGCCCACACCCCUAGGGAGGGAGAAGGUGGGAAUCUUCCGGCAAGGGGGGAAGGCGGACGGGAGCACGCCGGGGGAGUGGAGGAUGUUCUCGGGUUCUAAAAACUUUUUAAUAGGGAAAAAAAAAUUGUUUAAGUACAUAUGCCCGUUUGGAGGUAACCUAAUAAAAAGCCCCGGGCAAACUCCGGC